AUGCACCUAGUUCUUCUAAAAGGAAAAAAGAAAAAGAAAAAUGAUAGGACUAUGCAUACCUCUGAACCUGAGAUAGAAAAACCUUAUGAAGAUAACAAUCAUGUUUCUAUUUCUGAUGUUGAAACUCAAUCUGGUACUAAACAUUCACCUAGUGAUAAUGAUGAUGUUCAUGAAGAUACUCAAUCAGACAAUGAUAAAGAACCAUAUAAUGAUGUUGAGAUAGAACCGACUGUUGAUCUUGAUAACCCACAACCUAAAAAUAAACGAUAUGAUAAAAGAGACUUUGUGGCUACAAAAGAUGGUAAAUAA
rnacentral:rRNA from 1 species